rnacentral:rRNA from 1 species
AUGGCUGCAUCCUCAUCCUAUAGCUCAAAUAAUGACAUGGUCAAGCUCAAACCUAGAGGUGGCGGUGGAGCUCGGAGUUGGAAGGCAACGUGGGAGCACGUGUGGUCAGAUUAUAGUGGCAAGGGUACUGCAAGGCUAAACGUCUUCUCUUUAAUGUCAAGCAGAAAAAAAAGGAGACGAUGCCUGAUCGACGAAAACGUCGUGCACAACACCCGGAAAGCUCUAAUGCUGCUGGGAGGGCAUUUCUCCUUCUCAGGCGACCUCCUCGCCGAGGACCGGAUGCUGGAGCAGGCCGGCUUCGCCGCCGACUCACCUGCCGCCGCACCCGUCACUUCCGACGCAACAGUGCAGGAGACGGAGGCGGCCGAGAACGAGGCGUGGCUGGAGCACAUGACGGCUGUGCUCCUCGGCAGCGGGAGGAGGCCGUUCCUGGCGGCGCUGACCGGGUGCCUGGGCUCUCCCGACGCCGGCCUGGUGGCCGCCUGCCUGACGACGGCGGGGUGGCUGAGCCGUUCCCUAGCAUCGUCGCCGCUCCGGGACACGCACACGGACAUGCAGCUCGCCGCGUUCUCGGCUCUGGUCCCGCGGCUGAAGCGGUGCCUGGCCGGCGGCGCCGCCCACCUGCAGCCCCGGCACAGGGUGCUCGCCGCCGUUACGCUGCACAACUUCAGCAAAAUCCCAGACUGCACGGUCCUGCUGAUGCUGCCUGGCCGACCUCGCCGAGCUGACCCGGACGGCCGGUCAACUGUACGCCGAGCUCCACGAGUGACGACGCUGACCUCGGGCCCACACGGGAGUCGCCGGGGCCGGCCUCUCGUGCUCUCCGCGCGGAAGAUUCAGCGGAGAAAAGUAUGCGCGGGAGGGAGGCGCUGA